rnacentral:lncRNA from 1 species
UGUGUAUAUAUAUAUAUGUGUGUGUGUGUACAUUUUAUAAAAAAAAAAAUACAUUGAUCUACCAGGAAUGGUGGCACAUACCUGUAAUUCCAGUAUUUGGAAAUUUGAAAAACUGAGGCGGGGGUGGGGGUGGGGGUGUGUGUAUGUGUGAAAAGCUUAAAGCCAGUGAGAUCUGUCUCAAAAUAGCAGCAACAAAACUCCCCAAAUCAGGAGGUAGCAGCAAAGAAGCAGAUGCCAUCCUGUAGCUCUUCACAACUGUUCCUUACCGCUGACGUGUGGCUGGGGCGCUCUACCCCUGAGCACUUACCCAGCCCCUGCCUGAGCCUCCUUCAUCUUGAGAAAUCAGUGGACUGUCUACUCCCUUCCAGGAAACGCCAUUGAGACAAGCCGAUGGCAGGAAACGGCCAAAGGUCCGGUCCUAAAAUCAUCCUCCACCUCACAGAGAUGCUGUAGAGGAACUCAGUCCCCUCCCCACCUAGGAAAGGCCAGCGGGGCAACAGGAACCCCGAACCCUGAGGAGAGACCGACUCUCUGUUUCCUUUUAAAUUUAAUGUUAUGUGUAUUGAUAUUUUGUCUGCAUGGAUGUCCGGGUGACACGGUCAGAUUCCCUUGAACAGAAAUUACAGACAGUUGUGAGCUACCAUGUGGUUGCUGGGAAUUGAACCCAAGUCCUCUGGACCUGGUCCACUGUUCAGCCAGUGAGUGCUCUUAACCACUAGACUAUCACUCCAGCCUGAAAAGUGACUCUUUAGUUCUUUCAUGUCUCCAGGAAAUGGCCCUAUAGAUCUAAAGAGCAGUGUGUGUGUGUGUGUGUGACCACAUGAAGGGCAGAGGUCUAUGGUAGCUUUUCAUUUUAUUGUUUAAGACUGUCCCUCACUGAACCUGGAGUUUCCAGUGAGCCCCUGAGAUCUGCCUGGCUCUGCCCUCCCCCAGCCCAGCCCCCACCCAGGCACAUGCCACUCUUCCUGGCUUUAGCAUAGAUGCUAAGAAUCCAAACGGAGACCAUCAGGUUUGUAGUGCAAGCACCUUACCCACUGAGCUAUAUCCCCCAAUCCAUGGAGAACAUAUUUUUAAGGCCAGAGGGUACUGCCAAUUGUAAAAGGCAUAUUCAAAAAUCUAAGAAGCAUGCUCAGAGGUUUUAUGUAAACAACCGUGCUCCGACCAGAAGGCAUCAAACACGGCUGUAAUCCUAGCACUUGGCAGUGGGGGGCAGAAAGGUCAGAAAUCUAAGGCCAAUCUCAGUACACAGUGAGUUCAAGAGCAGCCCCAGCCCGGGGCUACAUAACACCCCACCCUGAAAACAGAACAACGCCUCCCAAACCAACCCUCACCAAAACAACCCUUGAGUCCUCGGGUUUACCCGAAUUAAAAAUUGAGCUUGUGCCUCAACCGAGGUGCUCAAAGGCCAAGAGAGCGGGUGAAACAGCACACAUCCCAAAGUCCCUUUCUCAUCUCACCCUGAGCCUGCCUUCACGGAGGAUCCAUACCGGAAGAUCUCAGCAUCAAAGGGCAACAACCCUGGCGUUAAAACACAUCGGAUCAAAUCUGAUAUUUACAAUGUAGUCAAAGGCACAGUGGCAUUGAAAAACAAAACGCUGGGAGAUGUAUAGUAAAAGAUUCGUUGUAAUCAUUAAUCUGGUUUUCAGCUAGGAGAAUUAACUCUUGAGAGAUGAUGCACACAGCAGGCCUUCGGAACCGGUGUGCUAGUUACUAGGGAGACCACGCCUCCUUCAGACCACGCCUCCUUCCCGCAGUUUACAUCUUUCCGGCCUUCUUGCCCAUCUGCGCCGGCACUCGGAGGAUGUUGGGGGUCUCCUCCAUGACUCUGACUAGCAGGUUGUCGAUGUAGUCCUCCAGCUCCCGCACCUGAAACUCCUUCUUGCUGAUGGUCUCCUUCUGUUUGAGGACUAGCUGGAUCAGCUCAUCGUGGGUCAGCUGCGCGUGUUAAAACACGCGCCACCACACCCGGCUUAGAAAGCCACUUUCCACAAAGGAUGAAACCAGGCGGCUGACGAGAAGAGAGAAGGACUUUGGAGUCUGUAGAGUAGGGCCGCGAGCGAUUACAAGCCUGAGCUACCACACCCUGUUUAUGUGCUCCUGAGGAUCAACCCCACGAUUCCUGAUUACUAAGCAAGAACUCCAUCAACUGAAUUAAACCCCGAGCCCUUUCCUUUUACUUACUUCUUAAAAUGACACACUCCCUGAGACGGAACCCGUGUUGGACACCGCUCCAGUCGUGAAGAACCUGAGACUAGACAGGCCACGGACCCAGGGAAAGCCAAAUACUCUGCUAAAGGGACAGAGCAAUAGAAGGACUCCUAAUGACACUCUGCCAUACCUAAGGUCUUGAGAAGUCCCAGCAACUGGACCAUCCCUCCCCUCGGGGCUCCGGGAACCCUGUGGAAGAGGAGGUAGGAAGAGUAUAAGGGGCAGAGGGAAGUACAGCAAGGCAAGAAGGACUGACAUGCCUGUGUUCCCACAGACGGGCAGCAUGCUCAGGUUCAAGCCAGGUGCCUCCCAGCACGGAGAGAGGAAGCAGACACCAGGCCCCACCUUAACUCAAAAAGCCAUCUCCAACUGACAAACAUUUACAAAGGAAACAUUAGUUUCUCCAAGUGAGUCUCCUUGGGUACACAAACCCACUUGAUGCGCAGGCCCCAUGCCCAGUGGUAGAUAGCCAACACAAAAUGAACAAUAGUAUUUUUGUAGAUUUUUUUUUUUUUGGUCUCUUAUUGCUUUAUCUGGAGGUUUUAUUUUUAAACCCUGCUGGUCAUUUGCUUAUAUAUUAUUGUUUCCAAUUUUGUGUUUUUAUUUUCUCUCUGUGUGUGUGUAUACUUUUCUGUUUUAUUCUGGCUUUUGUUUUGUUUUUACUUAUCUGUAUGUUCUGUAAAGAGAGGGGGGCAUGGAGUUGGAUGGGCCGGGAGGAUCUGGGAGGAAAGGAGGGAGGGGGAACCAUGAUCAAAUACAUUACAUGAAAAAACAUUAUUCAAAAGAAUAAAAAAUGAUUAAGAGCUGUUGAGAAAGAUAUCUACCUGACCACAACCUCUGGCCUCUACACGCCUGCACACAC